UCUCCUCAAGCUUCAGUACACCAAAGCUGAACUAGCCUAGCGGGCAGCAUUUCAGUUUCAAAAGACAUAGAAACAAGAAGGAUGCUAUGCAGCGGAAAAUAAAGUUAAAAGUAGUAGCAAAUCUCAGUCUCCACCUACAACGAAAGAAGUGUUUCAAAGGGUGAUGGCUGUCUUAGGCGAAGGGAAAAGAAUAAAGAAGCUGAGAGUGAGCUGACAGAAUCAAGAAGAAGAGAUGCAUGAAGGUCACCACUGAAGAUUCAUAAACCAUUG